AGGGAAUGUCUCUUCUUCUGCGGGGUAAAAGGCACACAGCACGACCAGAGUUUACACUUUACAGGCAAAAGGCCCAGCGACUAACCCAUGUUUACCUGCAGGUAUAUGUGCCUCGAUUGAUAAUGGGCCUCAACCUGUUCCGUAAGGUGACUUGGGCGGACCUUGUUAAACCAACCAUUCAGUCGCUGUCGUCCAAACUGGCUUUGGAGACACUGAUCUUAUAUGCACAUUGUGGGGCCGGUAGUUUUUAUGAUAUCAAUACCUUUUGAUGAUCAUUGAGUAAAACAUGUGGAUUGAAAUCUAGUUCCCUUGCUGGUGGAAGAGCUGGCCCUUGUUUGUUGGUGCAUUACUUGUUCUAUCUAGACCCUGUCUGCUCUGCUGUCAGUCAACCCCCAGUCCCAGGCAGCAAACCCCCUCUCAAAUCACUUUGAGAGAAAGAAGAAACCCCUCUGUUCACCUAGAUAAGGAUUAAUCUUGGGGUGGCGCUACAUUUAGUUUACAAAGUGGAUUGUGAAACAUAGUAUGAUAAGAAAGUGUGUGUGUGUGUGUGUGUGUGUGUGUGUGUGUGUGUGUGUGUGUGUGUGUGUGUGUGUGUGUGUGUGUGUGUGUGUGUGUGUGUGUGUGUGUGUGUGUGUGUGUGUGUUCCCAACCCGCCGUCAUGUGGUAAAUGUUUCACUGAUGCUUGUGAUACAUACACAGAAUGUAUUUCCUCUGUAGUGAGUAAGCCAUCAUCUAACCCUUAGCCAAUUGACCAUGUCGUGAAGACCGGCUUCGACCCCAGAAACUGUUUUUCAUUUACUGUAUCUUCCCGGCGCUUUAACCCAUGCACUAGGCCUAAUAAUGCCCCUAGAAGCUUGUGCUCACAUACAGACACUUUUAUCAUGGUGCUGACAUGAACACCAGUGAAAUUUAGUCAUGAAGCUAGGCUACCUGUAGCCCCUUAUCACUGGCACCCAGCUAAAUGGAGGUGCUCUGUUUUUAGUUUCUUUUUGAACAUUUUCAUUCUUGUCAAAAGGAAUAUUAUAUUGAUAUAGUGGUACGAGACUGAGACUGGAAUUUUGUUAUCGUCGUGUCGCGAUAAAAACUAAAUGAUGAUAUCUCAAUGUAUGCCGAUCGUUUAUAAGAAUGUGUGUUAGGGCCCUUAAAGAACAUCAGAUUAUCUAUAGCAAAAUGCUUAAACUAAGAAAAAUCUUUUUUUUUCUUAAAUCUUAAUAUCGCUCAGCUAGCAUCACACCGUCCCCCCAGCGACGGAACCUUCAGACUAUCACAGCCCCGCCCACUGGUUCCCAUGGCAAUCCAGAGCUGCCUCCAUCAAUUGAGUGUUAAUUUAUUAGCGAUUUGGUUUGUCGUAUAAACCCGUAGGUGAGGAAGCUUUCAGGAUAUUUUCCUUUGUAUGUGAAAUUGGUUAUUCUGGACUGGGAAGAGAGACAAGGUGAUUUAAGGUAGAUUCACCCCUUUGAGGAUAAAUUCCACAUGUAUACUAAUGCCACCAAAUCAAGGUAAACUAAACAAGCAGUCAGUCGGUUGUUUUUAUUGUUUCUGGAUGGAUUGAUCUAAAUGUACGGUACCUUGUAUCCAAUAAUACAAGCGUCUUAAUUACGAUCAAUAUUUUAGUUGUCCCCCGGGUGACCAUAUCAUCGCUAGGUUCAGCUCUGUUCCCGCUGCAACUGUACAGUUAAAUGGUUUUAUUUGUAUGGCUGAUUCACACAUGACCCUCUGCUCUGGCUGUCAAGACAGGAAGAUACAAUGAUCCAUCCUGGGUUUAAUGUUGCCGUGGAAACAAGCGAGAAAAGGCGGUUGGUUAAGCGAGAAGACAGGAAGGUAGUCGGUUCUACUGCAGCCCUCUCCUCAUACCUCUUCUUCUACUGUUUUGUAACCCAAGGUGAAACACUUUGUACUAAUUUUCAAAUAAAGAAGCUUUGAUACCACA
ensembl:lncRNA